CCUGGGUGAGCGCCAGACGCCUGGGGUCCGUUUGCCGCCUGCUGAGACUAGACAAGGACCCCGGGAGGGCGACGUGGGGGGAGAGGGCUACGGAUGGAGGUCCCGCUGCGCUUGGGCCGGGUCCGGAGCCACCAGGACGCACAGCGCGUUUCCCUCAUUCUCAGUCAGGUGGUUGAGUUACCCAAGCCUUCAUAACCAGAGGGUCUGAGCACUUGUUGGACUGUGCUUACUGCAGCUUCUCAUUUACAAUUACCACUGCACCUGAGAGUACCAAGAGAUUCCUUAGCCAGAGAUUACGAUUUCCAACUUCCAGCUCCUCAAGAUGGAGAAACAGAGGGAACAAGAGACUUGGAAUCACUCUGUCCUGGCUGUGGGUCUAUGAAAAAGAAUGUGGCCUACUGCUAAAUACAUUGAUUUUGAAGCUAGAUAGCUCUGGUUUUGGGGAGCAAGUGAUUUGAUCUCUCAGAGACUCAGUUACUUCAUCAGUAAACAGAGAUUACCAUAUCCACCAGUAAUGGCUAUAGGAGUAGUAAUAGGGAUGAUAUAGGUGAAAGCACUGAUCACUGAAUGAUUCCAAAGACAGGUGCAGGGAGGUUCAGGCAUCAGACAGGCUACCUGGAUCCAAAUCCCAGCUCCAUCAUUUACUAUUUUCAUGGCCUUUACAAACCACUAAACUUCUCUCUGAGCUUCAAUUUUCCCAUCUGUAACAUGGGAACUAAUAAAAUGAACCCUUCCUAAUAAAGUUGCCAGGAAGAUUCAUUGAAACAUUGAAUGUAAAGUAUUUAACUCAAUAUAGAGCACAGGGGAGCACCAAAUAAAAUUCAGGUGUUACAUUUUAAGCACGUGUUCACCGAGGCUCCCAAUUCAGGUGGUGAGGAUUCUAUAAUGAUCAAUUCCUCCUAAGGUAUUUGUAAAAUGACCCACCAGAUUACCAGCCAUUCCUAUAUUUCCAGAACCCUUCGGAGUCCUUUAUGUAACCUGGGAGAGCUGUUAUUCUUUUUUCUUUUUGGUAGAAGUGAAAUCCUGCAGGAAAACGUGCUCCAUUUUGGUUAUUUCUGUUAUAUCACAAGGUGGGCUGGAUAGCAAGUUUUGGAAGCGCUGAACACCCACACGGAGCUGGCUGCUCUCAGGCAGGGAGGCAUCUUCACUAAGGAGAGGUGCAGUCUGUGUCCCCGUCCUUGACUCUGAGAAUCUCUGUGAUCAACAGAAUGCAGAAAAGUGACACUGCAUGGCUUCUGAGGCUAGGUCCAGAAAAGGUGAUGCAGCUUCCCCCUUUGCGCUGAAAUGCAGUGCUUGGACCUCAGAGCUAUUGACUAAGAAGUCCAUGCACCCUGAGCUUCUCAUGCUGGGGAAGCCAUGUGCAGGCAUUCAGUUCCCAGCCCAGCUGAGCUCCAUCCUGGCUGCAACAAUUGUUCUCAUGAGGAAGCCAUCUUGGACACUCAGCUCCAUGGAGCCUCCACGUGUCGCCAGCCCCAACUGACAUCUGUCUCACUGCAACCACAGAAGAGCCUCCAACCAAGAACUGCACAGCUGAACCCUUUCUAAAUUCUUGAUCUCCAAAAAGCCAUGCACAAAAUAAAAUGGUUGUUUUGAGCCACUAAACUCUGGA